AACUGUCUUCUCCGGCUUCCAGUCCAGAGUCAUGCAGCCUGCAGAACAGUUUGCAAGCGAUGGCAUUUAUUACUUGGUAAUAAGGAGCAGUUCUUCACCCAUAGAAAGGAACUAGGCCUCAAGGAUCCUUGGCUCUUUGUAUUUGCUUUCCACAAAUGCACUGGAAAGAUUCAGUGGCGAGUUCUAGAUCUUACUCACUUCUCGUGGCACACUAUCCCAGCAAUGCCCUGUAAGGACAAGGUCUGCCCUCGUGGAUUUAGGUGUGCCUCAAUACGCCUUGAUGGUACACUCUUUGUUUGUGGGGGCAUGGUCUCUGAUGUGGAUUGCCCUCUUGACUUAGUUUUGAAGUAUGAGAUGCAUAAGAAUCGUUGGACUGUGAUGAAUCAGAUGAUUGCAGCCAGAUCAUUUUUUGCAAG
rnacentral:misc_RNA from 1 species